AGUCAGACUAAGGGAGUGCAGUCUAGGGCUAUGUGGUGUCAUGUGUUCUGCAAAGGGUUGUUUUGUGACAGUGGCAGACCCUAAAGGGAAUUGACUGGUAUGAAGAGGCCAAGCACAUUUGAAGUUGAAGAGGGACUAGAUGUAUAUGGGUAACUUUGGAGAGGGCUUACAUAUGAACUGGAGACUCUUGUGUGUGUGCUAGAUCGUGUAUCCCUAUUUUAAACUCUCUGGCUCAGCUUUUAUACAAUAACGCUGUGCCUCCUCAAAAGGAAAAUAAAACACCAAACCAAGCCAGUCCCCCCUCACCACCCCCCAAAAAAAAGCACAAUUAGGGGCUGGAGAAAUAGCUCAGUGGUUACGAGCAUGCACUUUUCUUACAGAGAACCAAGUCUAGUUCUUAGCACCUACAUCAGGUAACUAUGAGUUGCCUAUAAUCCCAGAUGCAGGGGAUCUGACAUCAUGGCUGGAUCCCGAUGCAAUCACAUUGAGUCCUUUGCGUUAACACAUACUAGCGUUGGCCAUGAAUUGACUGAUGUUGAAGCUGGUGACAGGACAUGGGGAUUAGCUAUAUUCUUUUUUUUUUUUUUUAAGAUUUAUUUGUUUUAUGUAUAUGAGUACACCAUAGCUGUCUUCAGACACUCCAGAAGAGGGCGUCAGAUCACAUUGCAGAUGGUUGUGAGCCACCAUGUGGGUGCUGGGAAUUGAACUCAGGACCUCUGGAAGAGCAGUCAGUGCUCUUAACCACUGAGCCAUCUCUCCAGCCUCGAUUAGCUAUAUUCUUAUGCUUUAAAUUUACUCUAGUUUUUGUUUGUUUGUUUAAAAAAGCUGAAACCUCAUAAGGUCCAACUGGUGAGGGCAACCCUAUUCUUUAUUUAUUCUAACAUACAAGAUCUUUGGGACAAUCAAUCCCCUUAGGAACUCUGGAAGAAUGGAGGUUUUUGCCAGGGUUUGAUAAGAUGCAUGGGGAAAAUAUCUUUCCUGCAAGAACUAAUACAAGAUCUUGGAGAGAUGGCUCAGCAGUUAAAGAGCACUGACUGUUCUUCCAGAGGUCCUGAGUUCAUUUUCCAGCAGCCACAUAGUGGCUCACAACCACCUCUAAAGGGAUCUGAUGCCCUCUUUUGGUGUGUCUGAAAACAGCUACAGUGUACUGAUAUAAAUCCUUAAAAAAACAAAACAAAACAAAACUAAU
rnacentral:lncRNA from 1 species